AUUGAACGCUGGCGGCAGGCCUAACACAUGCAAGUCGAGCGAAGCCUUCGGGCUUAGCGGCGGACGGGUGAGUAACGCGUGGGAACGUGCCCUUUGGUACGGAAUAGCCCCGGGAAACUGGGAGUAAUACCGUAUGUGGUCGAGAGACGAAAGAUUUAUCGCCAAAGGAUCGGCCCGCGUUGGAUUAGGUAGUUGGUGGGGUAAUGGCCUACCAAGCCGACGAUCCAUAGCUGGUUUGAGAGGAUGAUCAGCCACACUGGGACUGAGACACGGCCCAGACUCCUACGGGAGGCAGCAGCGGGGAAUCUUAGACAAUGGGGGAAACCCUGAUCUAGCCAUGCCGCGUGAUCGAUGAAGGCCUUAGGGUUGUAAAGAUCUUUCAGUGGGGAAGACAAUGACUGUACCCACAGAAGAAGCCCCGGCUAACUCCGUGCCAGCCGCCGCCGUAAGAC
rnacentral:rRNA from 1 species